UGUCAGUAAAUCUCAGUAUCUGUGUUAAUGUAAUCUCUCUUCUGUGUUCAGGAUUCUUCAUAGUUGCAGUUUUACCAUUUGUUUUCUCAGUGACAAAUUACAACUGGGAUUCAGUAUGUGGAGAACAGAUGGGCUGUUUACCUUCAGUCAGGAGACCAGUGUGGUUAAUCCUCUUGUUAUUAAUCAAUGCUGUAACGGUUUAUGUAUCCUUCAUAGCACUGGAGAAUGAAAAAGAUCGUGUUGGAUGGGCCUGUAUGAUUGCGUUUCUGCAGUUACUCUGGGGAGUGAUCAACUUCACACGCUCAUUUAAAUGGAGUACAGUAUCUGAUCCUCUUCUUAU